UCGGAUCUGUAAAGCUCUGUUUGACAGGGAAGAACCCACGCCAGUCGAACAGGCUGGCGUGCUGACGGUACCUGUCCAGAAAGCCCCGGCUAACUACGUGCCACCAGCCGCGGUAAUACGUAGGGGGCAAGCGUUGUCCGGAAUUAUUGGGCGUAAAGGGCACGCAGGCGGUUUCGUCAGUCCGAUGUGACAGGCCACGGCUCAACCGUGGAAGGCCAUUGGAAACUGCGAAACUUGAGGACAGAAGAGGAGAGUGGAAUUCCACGUGUAGCGGUGAAAUGCGUAGAUAUGUGGAGGAACACCAGUGGCGAAGGCGACUCUCUGGUCUGUACCUGACGCUGAGGUGCGAAAGCAUGGGGAGCAAACAGGAUUAGAUACCCUGGUAGUCCAUGCCGUAAACGCUGAGUGCUAGGUGUUAGGGGUUUCGAUACCCGUAGUGCCGAAGCUAACGCAUUAAGCACUCCGCCUGGGGAGUACGACCGCAAGGUUGAAACUCAAAGGAAUUUGACGGAUUU
rnacentral:rRNA from 1 species